UAGUGGCGGACGGGUGAGUAACGCGUGAGGAGCUGUCCUAUGCAGGGGGACAACAGUUGGAAACGGCUGCUAAUACCCCAUAAGCCGAGAGGUAAAAGGAGUAAUCCGGCAGGGGAGGCACUCGCGUCCUAUCAGCUAGUAGGUUGGGUAACGGCCGACCUAGGCGAAGACGGGUAGCCGGCCUGAGAGGGCGAACGGCCACACUGGAACUGAGAUACGGUCCAGACUCCUACGGGAGGCAGCAGUGGGGAAUAUUGGGCAAUGGGGGCAACCCUGACCCAGCGACGCCGCGUGGGUGAAGAAAUCCUUCGGGAUGUAAAGCCCUGUUGUAUGGGAAGAGCAGAAGACGGUACCAUACGAGGAAGCCCCGGCAAACUACGUGCCAGCAGCCGCGGUAAUACGUAGGGGGCGAGCGUUGUCCGGAAUUACUGGGCGUAAAGCGCACGCAGGCUGAAUUAUAAGUCGGUAGUCAAAGGCGGAGGCUCAACCUUCGUUUAUCUAUCGAUACUGUAAAUCUAGAGUAUGUGAGAGGGAAGUGGAAUUCCCGGUGUAGCGGUGAAAUGUGUGUAGAUAUCGGGAGGAACACCAGUGGCGAAGGCGACUUCCUGGCACAAUACUGACGCUCAUGUGCGAAAGCUAGGGUAGCGAACGGGAUUAGAUACCCCGGUAGUCCUAGCCGUAAACGAUGGAUACUAGGUAUGGGUGUCGCAGGGCAUCCGUGCCGCAGCUAACGCGUUAA
rnacentral:rRNA from 1 species